AUCCAGCUGACGAGAGUUUCAAAUAGAACGAAACGCGUGUUCUGUAU
rnacentral:hammerhead_ribozyme from 1 species